rnacentral:rRNA from 1 species
CAGUCUGCAACUCGACUGCACGAAGUCGGAAUUGCUAGUAAUCGCGGAUCAGCAUGCCGCGGUGAAUACGUUCCCGGGCCUUGUACACACCGCCCGUCACACCAUGAGAGUCGGGAACACCCGAAGUCCGUAGUCUAACCGCAAGGAGGACGCGGCCGAAGGUGGGCUUGAUAAUUGGGGUGAAGUCGUAACAAGGUACC